rnacentral:rRNA from 1 species
AUUGAACGCUGGCGGCAUGCUUUACACAUGCAAGUCGAACGGUAACAGGCCGCAAGGUGCUGACGAGUGGCGAACGGGUGCGUAAUGCAUCGGAACGUGCCCAGUCGUGGGGGAUAACUACUCGAAAGAGUAGCUAAUACCGCAUACGAUCUAUGGAUGAAAGCGGGGGACCGUAAGGCCUCGCGCGAUUGGAGCGGCCGAUGUCAGAUUAGGUAGUUGGUGGGGUAAAGGCUCACCAAGCCAACGAUCUGUAGCUGGUCUGAGAGGACGACCAGCCACACUGGGACUGAGACACGGCCCAGACUCCUACGGGAGGCAGCAGUGGGGAAUUUUGGACAAUGGGCGCAAGCCUGAUCCAGCAAUGCCGCGUGCAGGAAGAAGGCCUUCGGGUUGUAAACUGCUUUUGUACGGAAAGAAACGGCUCUGGUUAAUACCCGGGGCUAAUGACGGUACCGUAAGAAUAAGCACCGGCUAACUACGUG